GACGAACGCUGGCGGCGUGCUUAACACAUGCAAGUCGAGCGAGGCCCCUCCUUCGGGAGGGUGUCCUAGCGGCGAACGGGUGAGUAACACGUGGGCAACCUGCCCUCAGCUCUGGGAUAACUCCGGGAAACCGGGGCUAAUACCGGAUACGACCUCCACGGGCAUCUGCGGAGGUGGAAAGUUUUUCGGCUGAGGAUGGGCCCGCGGCCUAUCAGCUAGUUGGUGGGGUAGUGGCCCACCAAGGCGACGACGGGUAGCCGGCCUGAGAGGGCGACCGGCCACACUGGGACUGAGACACGGCCCAGACUCCUACGGGAGGCGGCAGUGGGGAAUAUUGCGCAAUGGGCGAAAGCCUGACGCAGCGACGCCGCGUGAGGGACGAAGGCCUUCGGGUUGUAAACCUCUUUCAGCAGGGACGAAGCGAAAGUGACGGUACCUGCAGAAGAAGCACCGGCCAACUACGUG
rnacentral:rRNA from 1 species